AUUGAACGCUGGCGGCAUGCCUUACACAUGCAAGUCGAACGGCAGCACGGGAGCAAUCCUGGUGGCGAGUGGCGAACGGGUGAGUAAUAUAUCGGAACGUGCCCAGUCGUGGGGGAUAACGUAGCGAAAGCUACGCUAAUACCGCAUACGAUCUAUGGAUGAAAGCGGGGGAUCGCAAGACCUCGCGCGAUUGGAGCGGCCGAUAUCAGAUUAGGUAGUUGGUGGGGUAAAGGCUCACCAAGCCGACGAUCUGUAGCUGGUCUGAGAGGACGGCCAGCCACACUGGGACUGAGUCACGGCCCAGACUCCUACGGGAGGCAGCAGUGGGGAAUUUUGGACAAUGGGCGCAAGCCUGAUCCAGCAAUGCCGCGUGCAGGAUGAAGGCCAUCGGGUUGUAAACUGCUUUUGUACGGAGCGAAAAGGCUUCCACUAAUACUGGGGGCUCAUGACGGUACCGUAAGAAUAAGCACCGGCUAACUACGUGCCAGCCGCCGCUGUAAAAC
rnacentral:rRNA from 1 species